ensembl:lncRNA
UGCAAAUAACACAGUAGUAAUUUCUCUUUGCAUGCCAUGUGUAAUAUACCUAGCCAAAACCAGAUGCGGUGACUUUCUUUUUUUGUAAAGCAAAUUACUUAAGAAAAUACAAUUCACUUGAAUUUGACAAACUGAAACAGAUGAGUUUUCUGGGUUCUCUGAUAACCUAUGGGAAUGUUUGGAUGCCAGCUGGGCUCAGUGAAUCGCCACUGUACUGUAAUAAUGGUUAUUUACCUCUGUGCUGUUUCAGUUACUUAACGUCUGUGUAACUGCUGAUUUGAGUAGUGAUUAGCAUUUAGAUAAUUUAACAGGAUUUUAGAGAGCACUUUGAAAGAUAACAUUUUAUUUUGAUGGUGCUAGGUAAAAAAUUGUAAAGACUGGGAUGGUUGUGUGGAAAACAUUUUUUGAGAGAACCUAUUGAAAGGAAUUUGUUGUCACCUUCUAAACUAGAAUAGUUGAAGGUACCGCUUAAGCCAUUUUUUUCUUAACAUCAGUGGCUCAGUUAAGGAAUGAGAAGAUAGAGGGUCCUCCACUUUCCGCUCAUGCUUUUUUAUGUAGGACUAGCUUACCUGAUUUUAAUGAAAAUCACAUUUUGAUAUAAACACCAGAUUUGAAAGUUCAAUGUGUUUGAUCUCAGGAGUCCAAAAUAAGUUGUUGCUUCUAGUGUCCUGCAUUUUAUUGACUGGGGUUUGAUCUCAGUUUCUGAAAAUGUUUAAAAAUUGGAAGGAAAUACUGUUCAUAUCUUCAUUGUCACUUUGUCUUACCUCAAUCGAGUAACAGAAUAUAGCUCCUGAAGGAAACACUGAUUUGCUUUCUGUUUCCCAUAUCUCACCUCUAGGAUAUGAUGGAAGAAGUGCUUGAAAGAGAAUUUUAGCAGAUGGUACUUUUCUCAGUGACCUCUGGAAUAAAAGAACUGACUUUUGAUAGUUUUAAAAUUAAUCUUUGCAUGAAGGUUGGUUUCGCUUUUUUCCUUUAAGUUUGUUUUUAAAUGUAUUAAUUAGUCCAGGGGAUUUUUGCCUUAUGCUGAGGUCAAACUAAGGCUAAGCAAGCUUUUGUCCUUCAUUUUAAUUGUUUGUCAUACUGUAUGUUGACAUAUUUCUUUAUAAGAGAAUAGAGGCAAAAGUAUAGAAGUGAGGAUCAUUUGUAUUUUUGAGUUGGAAAUUAUGAAACUUCACCAUAUUAUUAUGAUCAUACAUAUUCUGAAGAACAGACUGACCAAAGCUCACCUGUUUUUUGUGUUAGGUGCUUUGGCUGAACUUGAUUCCAGCCCCCUUUCCCUUUGGUGUUGUGUAUGUCUCUUCAUUUCUUCUCAAAUAAAUCUUCAACUCUUGCCCCAUGUCUCCUUGGCAGCAGGAUGCUGGCAUCUGUGUAGUCCUCAUACUGUUUACUGAUAACCCACAAAUUCAUUUUCAUGGCAGACCUAAGCUCAGACCCUGCCUUGUCCUGGCAAGCGUAGGUUUUCCCAGACCACAAUGCUGAUAUAUCUUAUUUAAUGCAGACUGUAUUCUUGCAGUGUGUUGUUUCCUUUGUGACUCAAGGUUGAAUUAAAAUGCCUGUGAACUGCAAACUUGCUUAUGAUUGACUUGGUGCAAUAAAGUUCCUUUCUAACCAUUUCUGGUUUAGAAAACAUUCAGCCAUCCUAGAAACUAGCAAUAUUUAUUUUUGCCUCUUUCGUUUUACCUUUUUUAGAUGAGGUAAAUGUUUUGUCUUUUACUUAAGGGUACUAAGCAAGGUCCACUCUAGUGUAGCUGAAGAGAAUGCAUAUUUGGCUACACUAUUUCUGUUUACUGUAUUUUGUUUCCUACUUUAUAUCUAAAUGCUAUUGUUUGUUUAAAAUCCUAAUAAUGUCUCAUUUCCAAUAUGUUAUUUUCAGAUAACUAAGGUUUUGCUACUAGUGUCAGCCAUUUACUCUCCAGCUAAUUGGGAUUAUUUUUUAAAAGAGGUCUUUCUCCCCGAAAUAGAAGUUUUAGAAAAUCUUGGAAGAGGGGUGGGUGCAUGUUAAUGCUGGGAAGCGGCAACUUUGGGGUUGAACUUACUUGAAUGGAUUAAAAAUUGCAUUGUGUUACAGAGCUAGAAAAUUUUAUGUAUGAAAAACGAUAAUAGCCUUACACUGAGUACAAAUAAUACUUUAAGAGCAUGUGAAGAUGUGAUCAUUUGUGAUGUUACUUGUAAAAAAAAAAGUAUAUAUACAUAUCUUUUGAAGUGUUAAAAGGAAACUAGUACUUUAUAUUCUUUAUCAUAUCACUUUUUGUAAGUGUUGAAUAUAUUCCUGUUUAUUUUUCUAUGUUCUGUUUUGUAGCCUUAAGAAGUGUUUCAAACAUAUCUGAAUGUAUAAAAUAAGAGUAAAUGCCCUACAUGGUGUGAUGCUGCAUUAUAUAUAAAACUGUGUGCAUAUAUUAAAUUUUGUCUCUU